UACGUAGGGUGCGAGCGUUAAUCGGAAUUACUGGGCGUAAAGCGUGCGCAGGCGGUUUUGUAAGACUGUCGUGAAAUCCCCGGGCUUAACCUGGGAAUGGCGAUGGUGACUGCAAGGCUAGAGUUUGGCAGAGGGGGGUAGAAUUCCACGUGUAGCAGUGAAAUGCGUAGAUAUGUGGAGGAACACCGAUGGCGAAGGCAGCCCCCUGGGUCAAAACUGACGCUCAUGCACGAAAGCGUGGGGAGCAAACAGG
rnacentral:rRNA from 1 species